CCUACGGGGAGCAGCAGUGAGGAAUAUUGGUCAAUGGCCGCAGGGCUGAACCAGCCAAGUCGCGUGAGGGAUGACGGUCCUAUGGAUUGUAAACCUCUUUUCUCAGGGAGCAAAGGGCGCCACGUGUGGCGCUUUGCGAGUACCUGAAGAAAAAGCAUCGGCUAACUCCGUGCCAGCAGCCGCGGUAAUACGGAGGAUGCGAGCGUUAUCCGGAUUUAUUGGGUUUAAAGGGUGCGCAGGCGGAAUGUCAAGUCAGCGGUAAAAUUUCGGGGCUCAACCCCGUCGUGCCGUUGAAACUGGCGUUCUUGAGUGAGCGAGAAGUAUGCGGAAUGCGUGGUGUAGCGGUGAAAUGCAUAGAUAUCACGCAGAACUCCGAUUGCGAAGGCAGCAUACCGGCGCUCAACUGACGCUCAUGCACGAAAGCGUGGGUAUCGAACAGGAUUAGAUACCCUAGUAGUC
rnacentral:rRNA from 1 species